AGAAAGUAAUCGAUUCAGAAUGAAGCCCUCGACGUCAGGAGCGUUUAGAUACCUUCAAACCAAAGAUUGAACGGUUCAACAGAGUGGUAUGUUAGAGAGAAGGCAGAGCAAUGUUUAGGGAAAAGGUUUUUUUUUUUUUUUUAAAGAGAGAGUGGAAAAUUAGCAAAUGAAGAAUCUGACUUUGAAAAAGCCCCUUCUAAGUUCAUGUGCCCUUAGUCUAAUGGGCCUGGCUACCUCCAAGUAGGGCCCAAUAGCCCUUUCUUAUUCAAGCCCUUACAAAAAUGAACCUUGAAACCAAAUGAAAGUUUAUCUGAAGGCAACAUGCACCUAUA
rnacentral:lncRNA from 1 species